AUUGAACGCUGGCGGCAUGCUUUACACAUGCAAGUCGAACGGUAACAGGCCGCAAGGUGCUGACGAGUGGCGAACGGGUGAGUAAUGCAUCGGAACGUGCCCAGUCGUGGGGGAUAACGCAGCGAAAGCUGCGCUAAUACCGCAUACGAUCUAUGGAUGAAAGCGGGGGACCGUAAGGCCUCGCGCGAUUGGAGCGGCCGAUGUCAGAUUAGGUAGUUGGUGGGGUAAAGGCUCACCAAGCCAACGAUCUGUAGCUGGUCUGAGAGGACGACCAGCCACACUGGGACUGAGACACGGCCCAGACUCCUACGGGAGGCAGCAGUGGGGAAUUUUGGACAAUGGGCGCAAGCCUGAUCCAGCAAUGCCGCGUGCAGGAAGAAGGCCUUCGGGUUGUAAACUGCUUUUGUACGGAACGAAAAGGCUCUGGUUAAUACCUGGGGCUCAUGACGGUACCGUAAGAAUAAGCACCGGCUAACUACGUGCCAGCAGCCGCCGUAACAC
rnacentral:rRNA from 1 species